GGUUGGUGCUGUUGGUUCUCCUGUUGUAAUGAGUUCUCUUGGAGAAGCUUGUUGAGCUUCCUUCCUGAGAUGAACUUGGCUGUUGUCAUCAUCAGAGGAGCUUGAGACCUUGUUGAGAGUGGCUGCAGUUCACUUUGGGGGAGCUCUGGUCCUUACCUUGAGCAUUGCCUCCUGGCUCUGGAAGGGAAGAUGGUGAGCUGCUCAGUCUCCAGGAGAAGUUUGUUAUUCUGGCUUUCUGAUGUGAACUCAGCUGUUCUCAUCACUGGAGGACUUCAGGACUUCAUUGUUGCCAAGGAUGGCUGUGGUACUUUUGGGGAGAGGUCUGGUUCGGAUCAUUAAUCCUCAUCAAUAUUAUCUGGAAGGCUUGGACAACUAGCAGAGCUGUUACUGCAAAGAAAACCACACAGUCAAAUAAACUGCACUGGAGCUGCUUUCAUGUUUGCCAAGGUGUCCUUCUAGGAACACAGGGUCCCAAACUGCCCAAACUGGACUUGAACUUUCAAUCCUCCUGCUUCAGCGUCCUAGAGUGCUGGGAUAACUACACCUACACCCAGCUAAUACACAUCAUUCUUACUCUAAAUUAUAUCUCCUGUAAUAAUAUUGACUGUACACAUUUCAAUUGCUGCAUUAAAGCCAUCCGAA